CUUGCCAACCCCUUGGGACUCAUAAAUUGAGUUAACCUCGACGAGGACGUCGAGUUUCAAAGGUGUGGGUGGUUUGUUACACCCCCAACAACUGAACUCGGCACGACAACAAGAGUGUUGUCAUGAGGCAGCAAGAGUGUUGCCAAACUGGUGCAAGAGUGGCGCCAAAAGUCAAAAAGGGAAAACGGGCAAGUGAGGGCUAAGGCUUUGAACGGAUGCGAGGCAGCUUGGCGAGGGCUUGACAAUGAGUUGCGGGCUACGGAUGGCACUUGAUCAUGAUUAUAGCAUCAAGGCAGGAGGCAUGAUGCCAAGACAUGGCACAAACGGAUGGGCAAAGACAAGCAAAUGUGCAAACGGAAAGGCAAAGUGCGGGCAGAUUUGGCGUGGGUUCGAGUUGCGGCAAACGGGCCAAAUUCGUAGGCAAUGUUAAGGCAAAUUAGGGCACAAUGCAGCUGGAUAUAAUGGCAUUGGCGCCUGGUCCAAGACAACACACGAAAUUGGGCAACAACAUAAGAAUGGACCAAGUCAAACGGCGGUUACCGGCACAUGCUGUGCACAUGGGCAGCGGUUGCGAUUUGCUUAUCAUGCUAGCAGGAGUUAGCACGAAUUGAGGGCCAUGAUCUCAUGAUCUAAACAUGUUCCUAGCAUUUGUGGGUGUCAACUACCUUAGGGAAAAGUAGUGGGCAAGUGCCAAGCCUAAAACUAGGCAACUAUUGUAAAUAUGGGGCUGCUUUCAUAAUCUAUAAAUGGGCAGCACCCUUCUCUUUUGUGACUUAAGCAGAAAAGUGUGAGAGCACACUUUAAAGCGUGAAAACGUGUAGAGUGCAUGUUUUCUGAUUUAGGAAGAGUCCUAAGUCUUGUUUUUAAGAGUGAAAAUACUAAGGCUAAGAGUAGUCUUGUGAGGGUCAAGAGUGAUCUUCAUUAAAACGUGUAGAGUGCAUGUUUUCUUAUUUAGGAAGAGUCCUAAGUCUUGUGAGGGUCAAGAGUGAUCUUCAUUUUUGUACACGGAGUGUACUACGGAGUUGAGUUUCUUUGUAUGCUCGAGUUAAAUACAAAGUUGGGAAAAGCGUUUCCUGUAA
rnacentral:lncRNA from 1 species